UACGGAGGAUCCGAGCGUUAUCCGGAUUUAUUGGGUUUAAAGGGUGCGCAGGCGGGGGAUUAAGUCGGCGGUGAAAUUUUGCAGCUCGACUGUAAAAGUGCCAUCGAUACUGGUUUUCUUGAGUGUGGAUGAAGUAGGCGGAAUUUGUGGUGUAGCGGUGAAAUGCAUAGAUAUCACGAGGAACUCCGAUUGCGCAGGCAGCUUACUAGGCCAUAACUGACGCUCAGGCACGAAGGCGUGGGGAUCAAACAGGAUUAGAUA
rnacentral:rRNA from 1 species